GAGAAGACAAGAUGUUCUACCUCAUAGAAAUUCUGUUCACCAGCAAACGGGUAGUAAAGUGCGGAGGCAGUUCAAAUCCCUAGGCUCACUGGCCUCCAGUCGUUUAACAUUUUGUAAACAAUCCUGACGUAGGUUCAAAAGUUGUUUGGAAUUUGCUGAAUGUGGACAUUUUGCCUCAUGUACAAAAAAAUUGAUAUUAGAAUUGAGACCAAUAUUGAAAUGACUCAGGACUUCAUUGAAAGGAAGUUGAAUGGAAUUUUAUUAUGUACAAAUAUCUUUGCGCAGAUCAUAUUGGGAGCAACGUUCAGUGUAAUUUCUGCAAGAAAAUCAUACUUGUGGAUGACCUUUUUUUUUCAUUCUUUUGUUUUCUCUAAUUAUAAACUGCAAAAACUAUUUUCUGCUACAAAAUUUUUACCUGACGAUUAUCAUGCAAAUUAUAAAAGAAUAACUAAGAAACAUUUAUCAGUAUCUGUUAUAAUUAGAAAUUAACAAGCUAUUCUUUACUUAAAGUAAUGCUUGAUUUUACAAGUGUGGUUUUCUUGUUUUAAAUUUUAAUCUUGGUUAAAAUUUUGCAUAUUUGUAUCCUUUUUAAGAUCUUCCUCGCUGCUCUGAAAUACAUUGCUCUUGUUUUAAUAUUUGCAUCAAAUUAUAUAUUAAUACUACAUAUUACCACAACAAAAUAUUAAUUUUUAGCAUGUUAUUUUCUUUAAAGUUAUUAAACUGAAAAAUUUGAAAUAAAAUUUCUUACCAUUGUAAAAGUAAAUUCAUCAUAAUUGUGUAAAUGUCCAUAAAUUGUGAAAAAUCUGUUCAUGAAAAACAAUGUCUUGGGAAAAUUUUUGUAGAAGAUGCUGAACUUUAUUCAUCCAUCCAAGACUAUUUAAAAAAUCAUGUUUUUACUUUUUUAUGAACUUACAGCAGAGGUGCAAUAAUGCUGUUAUUAGCGCACAAUGUGAUUGUUUUGUUAUUUUUAAACCGGUAAUUCAGAUAAUAAUGAUGUUGAAUUUUUUUUAUUGUAAUACACAUAAGGAUUUUGAUAAAUUUAAGGCAAAACUGAUAUGGCAUGAAAUAAAUGCUUUACAUAUCAAAAUGCUUAUGUACUUUAUAAUUUUAUGAUCAUAAAAACUGUACUGUUUGUUCGCAGCAUUAUUAGGCAUGUUGUUCAAUAAAAAAUUUUUAUCUUA